CACGUAGGGGGCAAGCGUUGUCCGGAUUUAUUGGGCGUAAAGAGCUCGUAGGUGGCUUAGUAAGUCGGGUGUGAAACCUCCAGGCUCAACCUGGAGACGCCACCCGAUACUGCUAUAGCUUGAGUCCGGUAGGGGAGCGUGGAAUUCCUGGUGUAGCGGUGAAAUGACGCAGAUAUCAGGAGGAACACCAGCGGCGAAGGCGGCGCUCUGGGCCGGUACUGACACUGAGGAGCGAAAGCGUGGGGAGCAAACAGG
rnacentral:rRNA from 1 species